rnacentral:ncRNA from 2 species
AAACAAAACUAGGGGUGCAUUAAAACGCUGAGAGAGCUUAAUAGCUUAACCCUUUGAACCUGAAGUGGUUAGUACCAACGCAGGGAAGUGAGUUUGCCUAUUA